UUUGGGGUUAGAAUAUGUUAUAAUACAAUGAAUUUGAUUGAUUACAAGUGCUAGAGAUGCGUGAAGAGUGUUCUGAAGUAUAGAGAAAGACUUGUUAAAAUUGGGUCCCAAAUGGGCUAAGAACUCGAAAACAUUGCGUUGAACCACUAAAUGACAUAUCUAGUGUUGUUUGGGGUUAUAAUAUGUUAGAAUACAAUGAAUUUGAUUGAUUACAAGUGCUAGAGAUGCAUGAAGAGUGUUUUGAAGUAUAGAGAA
rnacentral:lncRNA from 1 species